CAGCUCCGUCUAUCUUUUAGUGUUUUGUCCCAGCUCUCAAAAUGUUAGACAUCUUGCAAGAUGAACAGCAGUGUGCAACUGAAUGGAGAAAGAGAAACAGCAGAAAGCAGAGUUGAAAGAGCUCAGGGAACCAUCCAUCACAAAGCCAUCCUGCCUUAAAGUGAAACGUGUAAUUCCCUACAAUACCAGCAACACUCAUGACUGAACAUCCUGCUUAUCUUAGCAAAACAAUAAAUAUGAACAAGCCUUGUUUA
rnacentral:lncRNA from 1 species